GGGGGUGGAGACAAGCACAAGGACAGGUGAAACAGAUCAGGGUGUGAUUAGUACCCUCCCUUAGAGUUAAUUAGUCCUCUCCUCUAGCCCUGUCAGGUACAGUCAUACUCCAAACUGUUCACUGAAGAGAAUUGAAACAGUUGAAUCAAAAUUUUUCAAGUAUUUUUGGAUUUGUGUGGCUGGUGGGUGUACACUGAUUGGACAAAACAUUAGGAACACCCAUGACAUAGACUCACCAGGUGAUUCCAGGUGAAAGCUAUGAUCCCUUAUUGAUGUCACUUGUUAAAUUCACUUCAAUCAGUGUAGAUGAAGGUGAGGAGACAUGUAGAUGAAGGGGAGGAGACAUGUAGAUGAAGGGGAGGAGACAUGUAGAUGAAGGGGAGGAGACAUGUAGAUGAAGGUGAGGAGACAUGUAGAUGAAGGGGAGGAGACAUGUAGAUGAAGGGGAGGAGACAUGUAGAUGAAGGGGAGGAGACAUGUAGAUGAAGGGGAGGAGACAUGUAGAUGAAGGGGAGGAGACAUGUAGAUGAAGGGGAGGAGACAUGUAGAUGAAGGGGAGGAGACAUGUAGAUGAAGGGGAGGAGACAUGUAGAUGAAGGGGAGGAGACAUGUAGAUGAAGGGGAGGAGACAUGUAGAUGAAGGGGAGGAGACAUGUAGAUGGAGAGGAGGAGACAUGUAGAUGAAGGGGAGGAGACAUGUAGAUGAAGGGGAGGAGACAUGUAGAUGAAGGGGAGGAGACAUGUAGAUGAAGGUGUGGAGACAUGUAGAUGAAGGGGAGGAGACAUGUAGAUGAAGGGGAGGAGAUGGGAUAAAGAAUGAUUUUUAAAAGCCUUAAAACAAUUGAGACAUGGAUUGUGUAUGUGUGUAAUUCAGAGGGUAAAUGAGAAAGACAAAAUAUUUAAGUGCCUUUGAAUGGGGUAUGUGUCAGGUGCACCAGUUUGUGUCAAGAACUGCAACGCUACUGGGUUUUUCACGCUCAACAUUUUCAAUCAAUCAAUCAAUCAAUCAAUUAAUUAAUUAAUCAAAUGUAUUUAUAUAGCCCUUCUUACAUCAACUGAUAUCUCAAAGUGCUGUACAGAAACCCAGCCUAAAACCCCAAACAGCAAGCAAUGCAGAUGUAGAAGCACGGUGGCAAGGAAAAACUCACUAGAAAGGCCAAAACCUAGGAAGAAACCUAGAGAGGAACCAGGCUCUGAGGUGUGGUCAGUCCUCUUCUGGCUGUGCCGGGUGGAGAUUAUAAUUGUACAUGGACAUUAAGGUCAGAUUGUUUCUUCAAGAUUUUCAAACGUUCAUAGAAGACCAACAGGGUCAAAUAAUAAUCAGUGGUUGUAGAGGGUGCAAGAGGGCAGCACCUUGGGAGUUAAUGUAA